rnacentral:rRNA from 1 species
ACGCUAAUACCGCAUAUUCUGUGAGCAGGAAAGCAGGGGGAUCGCAAGACCUUGCGCUGAUUGAGCGGCCGAUAUCAGAUUAGCUAGUUGGUGAGGUAAAGGCUCACCAAGGCGACGAUCUGUAGCGGGUCUGAGAGGAUGAUCCGCCACACUGGAACUGAGACACGGUCCAGACUCCUACGGGAGGCAGCAGUGGGUAAGUUUGGACAUGGGGCAACCCUGAUCCAGCCAUGCCGCGUGAGUGAAGAAGGCCUUCGGGUUGUAAAGCUCUUUCGGCCGGGAAGAAAUCGCAUGGGUUAAUACCCUGUGCGGAUGACGGUACCGGCAUAAGAAGCACCGGCUAACUACGUG